UUGAUCUCAAAUCAGGUAGGACUACCCGCU
rnacentral:rRNA from 1 species